rnacentral:hammerhead_ribozyme from 1 species
GUUGGCAGAAGAGUCCCACAUAGGACGAAAUGCGUAUCAUUCUGGAU